rnacentral:rRNA from 1 species
ACGAACGCUGGCGGCACGCUUAACACAUGCAAGUCGAACGAGAGAAGAGAAGCUUGCUUUUCUGAUCUAGUGGCGGACGGGUGAGUAACACGUGAGCAAUCUGCCUUUCAGAGGGGGAUACCGAUUGGAAACGAUCGUUAAUACCGCAUAACAUAAUUGAACCGCAUGAUUUGAUUAUCAAAGAUUUAUCGCUGAAAGAUGAGCUCGCGUCUGAUUAGCUAGUUGGUAAGGUAACGGCUUACCAAGGCGACGAUCAGUAGCCGGACUGAGAGGUUGAUCGGCCACAUUGGGACUGAGACACGGCCCAGACUCCUACGGGAGGCAGCAGUGGGGAAUAUUGCACAAUGGAGGAAACUCUGAUGCAGCGAUGCCGCGUGAGGGAAGAAGGUUUUAGGAUUGUAAACCUCUGUCUUCAGGGACGAAAAAAGACGGUACCUGAGGAGGAAGCUCCGGCUAACUACGUGCCAGCAGCCGCGGUAAUACGUAGGGAGCGAGCGUUGUCCGGAAUUACUGGGUGUAAAGGGAGCGUAGGCGGGAUCGCAAGUCAGAUGUGAAAACUAUGGGCUUAACCCAUAAACUGCAUUUGAAACUGUGGUUCUUGAGUGAAGUAGAGGUAAGCGGAAUUCCUAGUGUAGCGGUGAAAUGCGUAGAUAUUAGGAGGAACAUCAGUGGCGAAGGCGGCUUACUGGGCUUUAACUGACGCUGAGGCUCGAAAGCGUGGGGAGCAAACAGGAUUAGAUACCCUGGUAGUCCACGCCGUAAACGAUGAUUACUAGGUGUGGGGGGACUGACCCCUUCCGUGCCGCAGCAAACGCAAUAAGUAAUCCACCUGGGGAGUACGACCGCAAGGUUGAAACUCAAAGGAAUUGACGGGGGCCCGCACAAGCAGUGGAGUAUGUGGAUUAAUUCGAAGCAACGCGAAGAACCUUACCAGGUCUUGACAUCCGAUGCAUAGCACAGAGAUGUGUGAAAUCCUUCGGGACAUCGAGACAGGUGGUGCAUGGUUGUCGUCAGCUCGUGUCGUGAGAUGUUGGGUUAAGUCCCGCAACGAGCGCAACCCUUACUGUUAGUUGCUACGCAAGAGCACUCUAGCAGGACUGCCGUUGACAAAACGGAGGAAGGUGGGGAUGACGUCAAAUCAUCAUGCCCCUUAUGACCUGGGCCUCACACGUACUACAAUGGCUGUUAACAGAGGGAUGCAAAGCCGCGAGGUGGAGCGAACCCCUAAAAGCAGUCUUAGUUCGGAUUGUAGGCUGCAACCCGCCUACAUGAAGUCGGAAUUGCUAGUAAUCGCAGAUCAGCAUGCUGCGGUGAAUACGUUCCCGGGCCUUGUACACACCGCCCGUCACGCCAUGGGAGUCGGUAACACCCGAAGCCUGUAGUCUAACCGCAAGGAGGACGCAGUCGAAGGUGGGAUUGAUGACUGGGGUG